CAUGUAAACAGAAAAGCAAGUUUUCUUCCUCCUGCAGUUCUGAGCACUUCAUGUUUUCUGCCUGGCUGCCUCUAUGUUCCACCCCUGUGUGU